UCUACCAUCUGAAUGGGCAAAAUUUGCUAGUAACACAGAACUAAGCUGCACCCCCCCUGUGUCUGGGAAGCUGCAUAAUAAAAUACAGAGGCUUUGAUUCCACUGGAUUUUUGCCACAGCUUGGGUACAAGAAGCAGUGAAACCUGAGAGAAAAUAAACAGAAAAUGUCUUAAAUUUGAACUGAAGUCCUUUAACAACCCCGUUUCCCCACUGGUUGUUGCAAGACUAGAACUGGUCUACAUCUUCCUACCUGGAACUGCUUAGUGUACAGUAACAAUUGCUCUUCCAAAUGGAUUUUAACACAUGUGAUGGAAAGAAUUUUUCUUCCCUUUUAUCUUGGUUCCUUUGAUGGGAAAAUUACCCCCCUGCUGUGAGUUACAACAGGGCAGUUAAGCAUUACAGAAAGCAAUUUCAGGGUGAGGGAAGUCAAAUAUGCUGUUACUGGUUAACAGUUCAAUUUCUCUACUUGCUGCUGGUUUGCUUCUGUCUAGUAAAGGGGAGAACCAAACAUUUACCAUCCGCAAAUUAAUACUGCUUAACACUGAUCUGUUGCAACCUGAAAUGAAAAAAAUACAUUAAAAAUAUGCCUAA